rnacentral:rRNA from 1 species
CCUACGGGCGGCAGCAGUGAGGAAUAUUGGUCAAUGGACGAGAGUCUGAACCAGCCAAGUAGCGUGAAGGAUGACUGCCCUAUGGGUUGUAAACUUCUUUUAUAUGGGAAUAAAAUGUUCCACGUGUGGGAUUUUGUAUGUACCAUAUGAAUAAGCAUCGGCUAACUCCGUGCCAGCAGCCGCGGUAAUACGGAGGAUCCGAGCGUUAUCCGGAUUUAUUGGGUUUAAAGGGAGCGUAGGUGGAUUGUUAAGUCAGUUGUGAAAGUUUGCGGCUCAACCGUAAAAUUGCAGUUGAAACUGGCAGGCUUGAGUACAGUAGAGGUGGGCGGAAUUCGUGGUGUAGCGGUGAAAUGCUUAGAUAUCACGAAGAACUCCGAUUGCGAAGGCAGCUCACUGGACUGCAACUGACGCUGAGGCUCGAAAGUGUGGGUAUCAAACAGGAUUAGAUACCCCAGUAGUC